CAGGAAAGUCGGGGUUAAGGUUGGAAGCUUUUCAGCACCAAGAAGGAGAGGCCACCGCUGGGCCAGCCCAGGCUGUGCCAUCAGGUGAGCAAACUGAAACUCAGAAAGGACACAACAAGCAAUAGUGGUGGAGUGUCAGGCUCUUCCCCGCAUGCCCAAGGCUGCCUUCCUUGGAGGUUCCUCGUCUGCGAAAUGGAGAUCAUAGUGCCUGGCUCCCUGAAAAUCGCGUUGAUUUUGAUUCAGUAUAAGGAAAGGAAGAGCUGGUGAGCAAUUAGAACUGAAGUUUCGGGUCCUGGAGUUACUCAAGAGGAGGCCAGCUUUCACCACUCUGCGCUGAAAUCUAGCACCUAGCUUCUGCACAUCUACAAGGUAGGAAGGAGUCCCUCAGCUGCUUCACGAGGCCCAGUUGGAAAGAAAGCCUCGAAAGUCAAUGCCAGUGAGCCAGCAGAAACGUGAGGGCACUGAGCCUCUCCCGAGAGUGUUGGCUUUAGAGUUGGCCUUGAAGUCAAGCUGGAGCCCUCCCAGGCGCUCACUCUGUGACCUCUGCCGUUAGCAACAACGACGUCUGAGCCCUUGCUGUGUGUCAGCCAAGGUGUUUACAUAUAUUAUCUCAUUUACUC